GCCAGUGUGGUGUAGUGGUCUGAGCAUUGGACUAUGACUCUGGAGAUCAGGAUUCGAAUCUCCACUCAGUCA
rnacentral:tRNA from 1 species